UAGUAUUUGGUUUUCUGUUCUUGCAUUACUUUGCUAAGGAUAAUAUCCUCCAGCUCCAUCCAUGUUCCCGCAAAAAAGAUCUCAUUCUUUUUUAUGGCUGCAUGAUAUUCCAUUGUGUGUUUAAAAUAGGAAAAGUACGGCGGUGAAAUUACCGAGGAGAGGAAAAUGAAAGAACUGGAUUUAAAAAAAAUCUUUUCUUCUUCUCCGAGAAAACACCAAAUGGUGGAUGAUGCCAGUGCAACGGGGGGACCCGGAGGCCCUGGUGGCCCUGGGAUGGGGAACUGCUGUGGCUUCCGCGAAGGUUUCAGCAGUGGCAUCUGGGGCCCGGGCCAAGGCCACGGAGCUCACGCAGGCAAGGCCGAGGAUAAGGAGUGGAUGCCAGUCACCAAGCUGGGCCGCUUGGUCAAGGACAUGAAGAUCAAGUCCCUGGAGGAGAUCUACCUCUUCUCCCUGCCCAUUAAAGAAUCUGAGAUCACUGACUUUUUCUUGGGGGCCUCCCUCAAAGACGAGGUUUUGAAGAUGAUGCCGGUGCACCAGGUUCAAGGCGUUUGUUGCUAUCGGGGACUACAAUGGCCACGUCGGUCUGGGUGUUAAGUGCUCCAAGGAGGUGGCCACCACCAUCCGUGGGGCCAUCAUCCUGGCCAAACUCUCCAUUGUCCCCGUGCGCAGAGGCUACUGGGGGAACAAGAUCGGCAACCCCACACUGUCCCUUGCAAGGUGACAGGCCGCUGCGGCUCUGUGCUGGUGCGCCUCAUCCCUGCACCCAGGGGCACUGGCAUCAUCUCAGUGCCUGUGCCCAAGAAGCUGCCUAUGAUGGCUGGUAUCGAUGACUGCUACACCUCAGCCCGGGGCUGCACUGCCACCCUGGGCAACUUCGCCAAGGCCACCUUUGAUGCCAUCUCUAAGACCUACAGCUACCUGACCCCUGGCCUCUGGAAGGAGACUGUAUUUACCAAGUCUCCCUAUCAGGAAUUCACUGACCACCUUGUCAAGACCCACACCAGAGUCUCCGUGCAGUGGACCCAGGCUCCAGCUGUGGCUACAACAUAGGGUUUUUAUACAAGAAAAAUAAAGUGAACUAAGCCUGAAAAAAAAA